rnacentral:rRNA from 1 species
UACAGAGGUCCCAAGCGUUGUUCGGAUUCACUGGGCGUAAAGGGUGCGUAGGUGGCCAGGUAAGUUCGGUGUGAAAGCUCGGAGCUUAACUCCGAAAUGGCAUUGAAUACUAUCUGGCUAGAGGGUCGGAGGGGAGACUGGAAUUCUCGGUGUAGCAGUGAAAUGCGUAGAUAUCGAGAGGAACACCAGUGGCGAAGGCGGCUAUCUGGACGGUUUCUGACACUAAGACUCGAAAGCGUGGGGAGCAAACAGG